GGUAUGAUGGGAGAGUAGAGGCGAGGAUGACAGGGUAUGAAGUAUAGGGAGAUGCUUCUCCUUAUCGGUUGUUGUCGUCAUCGUCGUCGCUGCAUGUGUGUGUGUAUGAGAACUCGUGAUGAUCACCUUAUCGACGACUGCAUGCAGGGCUAUUCUUUGUGAGAUCUCUCUCUGUCUUUCUGUCUCUCCCUGUAUCUCUCUGUGUGUGUAUGUGCGUGCAAUUCUUUGUCUCUCUCUCCCUCCCCGCUUCUCAUUCGACGCCCUCUCUUGUACCUUCUCACCUUCUCUUCAUAUUCCGCCGUUUUGUGCUUCUUCGUCCUGCUGUAUCCUCGCUUUCCUUCUUGUACUUGCAUGCUCUUCAUUUCCUUGUGCGGUGCGGCCACCCACCUUCACUCCUCUUUGCAACUCUGACGAAUCAUAUCUAAUCCUCUUGUUUCCCAUUGACAAAGAUCCACUUUUGCACCUUGCGGUACUGCUGUCUAAACCCUUCUUCCUACACCCUGGUUGGAAAUGUGUGCAUUAGUGUUUUGGGAUUGUAGCUAAUUGGACCGAGAAGCAGCGGGAAGUAAUUGGCAUUUGAGUCAUAAUUGGCGUUUGAGUUGUGGUGGUGGUGGAGGUAAGAGGCAUGAGUGUGUGGCAUGGAGAGGCAAACCCCGAUGAUCAGGGUAGGGGGUCAAUCAGGGUAUUUUGGAAGGUGGGUAUGAUGGGGGAGGGGAGAUGGGGAUGGCAGGGUAUGAAGUGUGGGAGGGGGAGAUACUCGUCCUUCCCAGUCAUUGUCGUCAUCGCCAUCGCUGCGUGUGUGUGUGUGUGAGAGAGAACUUUUGAUGAUCGCCCCACUAACGAUUGCAUGCAGGGCUAUUCUUUGUGAGAUCUCUCUUCUUCCAACUGUAUCCUCACGUACACACAUUGUCUUCUGUUUGGCACUGCUUGCCCUCCUUACCCUCCUUUUCUUUGAACCUCCUACCUCUGUUGGAUUAUUCCUUCCUCCUUCGUCCUGCCCCUCUGAGUUGAGGAUUUAUCUCUACGGUGGUCUUGUUCUCGUUCUUCCUGUUGAUCGCCCCCUGGUCGUCCCUCUCCGCUCCCUGCUUCCGACCCCUUCCACCUCUCUCUCUCUCGCCUAUUUUUCCACCGUGGAUGCCGAUUUUGCCAGAUCGGAUUCUUCCCUCCCCUGAUCGUUCUCCUUCUCCUGAUUGACUCAAUUUACUCUAGUCUCAUCUUCUCUAUAUUGCUCGGCCUCUGGUCGUGCCACCUCCGUGUUCAUUACUGCACCCUCUCUAUUUGGGUCAAAGCUUUGUUCUAGCUGUUGGCCGAGUGCGUGUAAUGUUGUGUUGAGUGUUUGGGAAUGAGUAGAAGUAAGGAAAUAGUGUGUAGAUUAUUGUUGAAGGAGGGGACUGGGAUUGUGUAACUUUGUUCUAUUAUGAUUUACAUGAUACGCAAUUUAUAGGAGAAAGCGAGUUCAUCUACUACUUUUCAUGAAAGCGUGAAAGCCCUUGUAAUCUGAGGUUUACGAGGCGCGAGUAAUGUGGAAUUGAAUGGUUAGGGGCAAGGAAAAGCGAGAAAGCAUCUAUGAUCCGAGGUUCAUAGUUUGCUAGUAUUGUUGUGUACUUGUUGGGAAAAUUCAUAUGAACCUGAGAAUCUUCGUAAUUUGAAGUUGGCUGAGUGCAUGUAAUGUUGUGUUGAGUGUUUGGGAAUGAGUAGAAGUAAGGAAAUAGUGUGCGGAUUGAUGUUGAACGAGGGGACUGGGGUUGUGUAACUUUGUUCUAUUAUGAUUUACAUGAUACGCGAUUUAUAGGGGAAAGCGAGUUCAUCUACUACUUUUCAUGGAAGCGUGAAAGCCCUCGUAAUCUGAGGUUUAUGAGGCGCGACUGAUAUGGGAAUGAAUAGUUACGGGCAAGGAAAAGCAAGAAAGCAUCUAUGAUCCGAGGUUCAUUUCAUUGUGGACGAUGGGAAAAAGGCGAAAAUAUGAGAACAAUUUUGGCAGGAAAAUGGAAAAAAAACAAAAAAGUCCCAACGAUGGUUAUGGAAACAAUACGAGCAUGGUAUGGUGUGAAUUUUGUGAAUGUGAGGUCCCGAACAAGAAACCUUGUUUGGAUCAACAUUUUCAACCUGGUUCAAAACAUGAGAGGAAAGAAAAAUUGGCUUUAUUCAAGAGUUUAUUUGAAAAAGAAGGAUUGGAUUACUUUCCAGGCGGUACUACAUAUUAUUGCCAAAAAUGUAAGAUGCAGCUGCCUAAUGUUGUAGGUAUAUUCAAAACAGGCCAGAAUAUUAUCAUUUAUCUGAAGAACUUGCGAAAUAUACUUGUCAUAUUUUAAGGAGGUCGUAUGAAAGUUUAUUUCAACACUUGGAUAAUAUUGUGAUUGCUGAAGGCUUUUCAAAUAGUGGUGCUUGUAUUGGUAAUGGACCAUUUACAUCAUUUGCUAUCACGAGGGACUUCAAUUGUAGGCCUCAUCGUGAUGAAGAUGAUUAUGAUUUUGGAUUCAUAAUAUGGCUACGCGAAGAUCCAUCGGAACAAAAUGAACCGGCCAUAUUUGCUUUCCCAGAAGCAUCGAUUAUGUUUGUACCCAAACAUGGGGAUGUUUGUGUUUUCAGGCCAAGUGAACUUUUACAUUGUACACGGCGCCUUCAAGGAAAGGGCUUACUGGGUCUUGCAUUUUUUCAAAAAUGCUCACUUUACAGACAACUCGGGCGAUUAAUUCACCCCGACGGGCCCGGUAUAAUAGACUACAAAGAUAAGAAUGGGAAUGUUCGUGUUGUUGAAACCCGAGAAGGAUUCCUUGAAAAGAAACGUUUUUACGAACGACACUUGUUGGAAAAUCAGUUCUCCAUCAAAGAAUUCAUGGGCAAAAAAGAAGACAAACAAGUAUCUCCUGCCACUGAUCGGGAGUAGUCUUGUAGCAGUGGAGAUGGAUAUAUUGAUGGAUAUAUCAACAUUUGUGGUGGAUUUUGAUGAUAUUAUUUUUGGAAUUACUUUUAAUAUUGUGCUUAAGUAACUUAGGAGCUUGAAGGAGAGGGACGUUACAUCGCUUCGCAUGUUCCUUGUUAGGUCAACUCUUGUCUACUCCACCACCUGCAUAACAUUCCCUAAACCUGGUACAUUGCAUAAAGGAAUCGGCCAACGUAAUGACAGGGACGGAGCGGUGGGACGGAGCGUGCUGGUCCACAGGCCGUUGAGGUUGCGGGGUUGAAGUUCGAGCAAGUUCGAGCAUCGGAGUGGUAAGGGCUGCAAUCAUGGUCCUCCUUGCGAGUGGCAGGUUUACAAGGCUUGUCUCCUAAACCUCCAUGGUUGGCGCGGGUUCUUUCUCCAGCACUCUUGGUGGCAGCCAUGGUGUUGGUCGUGUAUAUUGCAAAGGUCGACAAGGCGACUACUACGUCAUGGUCAUGGAUAUGCUCGGACCAAGUCUCCGGGAUGUCUAGAACUCUUCGGGGUCAAGCGCAAGUAUUUAGGGCAGCUCGUUCUGAUUGAGCAGGUAUGCACAUGGAGA